rnacentral:rRNA from 1 species
GAUGAACGCUGGCGGCGUGCCUAAUACAUGCAAGUCGAGCGAACGGACGAGAAGCUUGCUUCUCUGAUGUUAGCGGCGGACGGGUGAGUAACACGUGGAUAACCUACCUAUAAGACUGGGAUAACUUCGGGAAACCGGAGCUAAUACCGGAUAAUAUUUUGAACCGCAUGGUUCAAAAGUGAAAGACGGUCUUGCUGUCACAUAUAGAUGGAUCCGCGCUGCAUUAGCUAGUUGGUAAGGUAACGGCUUACCAAGGCAACGAUGCAUAGCCGAGCUGAGAGGGUGAUCGGCCACACUGGAACUGAGACACGGUCCAGACUCCUACGGGAGGCAGCAGUAGGGAAUCUUCGGCAAAGGGCGAAAGCCUGACGGAGCAACGCCGCGUGAGUGAUGAAGGUCUUCGGAUCGUAAAACUCUGUUAUUAGGGAAGAACAUAUGUGUAAGUAACUGUGCACAUCUUGACGGUACCUAAUCAGAAAGCCACGGCUAACUACGUG